CGUAGGUGGCAAGCGUUGUCCGGAUUUAUUGGGUUUAAAGGGUGCGUAGGCGGCCCUGUAAGUCAGUGGUGAAAUACUCCAGCUUAACUGGAGGGGUGCCAUUGAUACUGCAGGGCUUGAGUGGAGUCGAAGUAGGCGGAAUUGACGGUGUAGCGGUGAAAUGCUUAGAUAUCGUCAAGAACACCGAUAGUGAAGACAGCUUACUAGGCUUCUACUGACGCUGAGGCACGAAAGUGUGGGGAUCAAACAGGAUCAGAUACCCUGGUAGUCCACACUGUAAACGUUGAUUACUCGCUGUUGGCGAUACACAGCCAGCGGCCCAGCGCAAGCGAUAAGUAAUCCACCGUGGGGAGUACGCCGGCAACGGU
rnacentral:rRNA from 1 species